rnacentral:tRNA from 1 species
GCCGGAAUGGCGGAAUUGGUAGACGCGCAUGAUUCAGGGUCAUGUGCCCGCAAGGGUGUGCAGGUUCAAGUCCUGUUUCCGGCACCA